AUACGCUCUCGGUGGAAUCGGCGGAGAGAGAAAACCGAGUCGGGUGGGAGCCGAGCACGAGAGGCGUAUCCGCGAAGAUCUCGCGUUUCGUUUACCGCGAAUUCGGGCGAGACGACCACGGCGGGUAAAUCGCUUGCGUUCGCGCGAAAUCUCGGAAACCCGAAGCGGAACGAACGGCCAAAAGUGACGCAGCACCGUAUGCAUCGCGCGUGUCGGUAAUCUCCUUUUCUCUCUCUCUCUCUCUCUCUCUCUUUUUCUCUCUUCCUCUUUCAUUGUCUCUUUCUCUCUCUCUCUCGUUCUUUCUUUCUUCUGUCUCUCCCUCCCUUUCCCAUCAGAGUGUCAAAGUUCCGAGACCAUUCGUCGACGUAUUCCAUCGCGGUGGCCGUCGAUGUAGGUUACGAGGAGAGAAGAAACGAACGAUAUUGGGGUGCAGUAGAGUCGUGGAAGUGUGACGCGACCGGGCAGCGAUACGCACCUCCCACGGGGGAGAAAAAAAAACGAAACGUCGUGCACACGGCGGUAUCGAGUGUGCGAAGGAGCGAGCGAGCGAGCGAGCGAACGAACGAACGAACGAACGAACGAACGGUUGACCGGGCGGGCGGGUGUAGCGGGGGAGAGCGAGAGGAUCCAGAGUGCGAGUACGGAGCGGAGGAGAGUGAGUCGGUGAUUCGGUGAUUCGGUGAUUCGCGGACGACACGGACCGCGCGAGAGGAGCGAGCUCCGGUGCGAGCCUCGCGUGCCAUCCGAGUGCUGUCAUAAAUGUGCAUGUUCUACAUAGAUUGCUCGACGAUCUAUGCACGAUCUACGACGGGCCGAUCCAUCCACGGUGACGAGUGCUGAUCGUGCCUGACGCCUUCCGCGGCUCCGGUUCCAGCGAGUCGUCUCGGUCGCGCGGCGUUGCGCCUGGUCGCCGCCGUCGCUGUCACCGCCGCUAUCGUCGUCCUGAAGCAGUCCGGAAGCAGCAGUAGCAGCAGCUAGCCCAGCGUGCGCGGCGUACAUACCUAACGGCGUGCCUCUCGACUCAAAGCAGGUGAUCAUGGCGAAUCGGGGCACGGCCCAGAGGCCGAACGGAUCGACACAAGGAAAAAUUUGUCAGUUUAAAUUAGUUUUACUUGGUGAAUCGGCAGUCGGAAAAUCGAGCCUUGUUUUGAGGUUCGUCAAAGGACAGUUCCAUGAGUACCAGGAGAGUACAAUUGGCGCUGCAUUUCUAACGCAAACCGUAUGUUUGGAUGACACAACUGUAAAAUUUGAAAUCUGGGAUACUGCGGGGCAAGAACGUUAUCACAGUCUUGCGCCAAUGUAUUAUCGUGGUGCACAGGCAGCCAUUGUCGUGUACGAUAUAACAAACCAGGAUACAUUCUCACGUGCCCAAACAUGGGUAAAGGAAUUGCAGCGCCAAGCCAGUCCAAGCAUAGUAAUAGCAUUAGCUGGAAACAAGGCAGAUUUGGCAAAUAAGAGAGUCGUCGAGUAUGAUGAAGCUCAAACGUAUGCAGAUGAAAAUGGCCUUCUUUUCAUGGAAACAUCUGCUAAGACGGCGAUGAAUGUUAACGACAUAUUUCUUGCAAUUGCUAAAAAGCUUCCUAAAAACGAACAAUCGGGAAGCGCAAGUACGAGUGGUCAAGGCCGUCGACUAGUGGAGUCAGAUGGGCAAAAGGCAGCAACCGGCAAUUGCUGCAAGUGAUUAUCUAAAUCCGUAUGUGUCUCACAAUAUAUUCGUAUCUAUAUUUUUACAUUAUUUGAAUAUAUAUACAUAUAUAUUAUCUUUAAAAUUAAUUGAAUUGAUGAGAGACAUUAUUCCACGGAUGAGAGAAACCAGCAAAUGUUUGAUAUACGCCUAAUGAAUAUGUUACGAAUCAAACACGCAUAUUCAGUGUAACAACAUAUUUUUAUAAUACUAGAAUAUAUAAUGAAGAAAGCGCGAUCAAAAAGAAGAACGGGGAAAACGGGAAUAUAUUGAUUUGAUAUUGCAUAGAGUAGACACAUCUGCACUUUAAAAUGCUUUUAGCAGAUUUUUGCAUUAGCAUCGUAAUAACGGGAUAUCAGUAGUCAUGCAGUUUUCAUAGAGUAAUUAUAUUUCUUGUUAUGUUUAUGAUAUUUUUUAUAGCGUAUAAUUUUCUUUCUCUCUGUCGACUUUUACCUUCUUUAUUAUUUACUGAAACAGUAAAUAAAGGACAGGCUGAAAUAUAUAGGCGAAAAAAUAAAGAGCUUGGAUUGAAAGUAAAAUCCAAUAUAUAUAUAUAUAUAUAUAUAUAUAUAUAUAUAUAUAUAUAUAUAUAACCAUCAAAUUUAUAAUAUGCAGGAUACAAAUGUAAUUGUAAUGUUGCUGUAUAAUAUUUAGCUAAACAUUGACGGUUUCUUGUAAUUAAAGGAUGAUUUACACAAAAAAUGUGUAUGUGAAGAAAACGAUUCUAAAUUUUAUGAUGUUUCCAUAUUAAUAAUGUAUCUAUUUAUACUUAUUUUUUGGAGAAUUUUUCUUUUAGCAAUAUAUUUGUUCAAACUAUUCAAUACAAACAUUUAAUAUAAUGAUUCCAUAUACUCUUAUUAAAAUAAUUCUUUAGCCAAAAUCUUUUAUCAUUGCAUUCAAAGGAUAUUAUAUGGUGUCGUUAUUAUCAAUCGUUUAAUAACAAACCUUUAAUAUUCUUUUAAUGUAUUUCUACUAGAUUUAAAUAGCAUUUAUACAUUACUGUGUCAGCUUUAUUAUUAAAGUCAGAGUUUCAUCAUUUGCAUGUAAAAGUUGUAAUCUAUGUCUAAAAGCAUAAUAUUCUUUUAUUAGUUUCCUCUCAUUUUAUUGUAUAUUUAUUCAUAAUUAUAUAAUUUAAGUGCACUAUUCAAAAUUUCGUGAAAAGAGAAGUUAUUUAAUAUAAGGCACUAGAUAUCCCUUAGGCACAUUGUAGCAUUCAUGUGACACUAUAUAUUUAUAGAUAUUAUAAAUUUGUAAAGGUUUCCUUUCUUUUUGGAGGACACUAAUUUCUGACUGAUAAAGGUGCUACAAGAAUACAUAUGCAUGAUAUCUGUAUUGUGCAAAUUUGUGGAAAUGUUUCUUGUAAUUUACGAUAAUGCUCCCCAUUUCCUGUGCAAUGAUUCGUAUCAUUGGAUUGUAUAUUUGAAAUAUUAUUUUGUAAUAAUAAUAAUAAUAAUAGGUAAAGCUGUUUAAAAAAUUGUUAUAAAAAAAAUUCUCAGGAUGCAAUCCUUGUCUUUAAUCUCUCAAUAUUGUUGUAUCCUAAUUAUAUAUUUAUUUUUAUUUCCGCUUUAAUGAGAUACGACUAUUUAGAUAUAUUCUGUUAAAAAUUACACAGGUAGGUUCUAUUAUUCCUGUAUAGAGAAAUUUUCAAUAUUCAUCAGGCAAAUAAAAUGUUUUAUAGUAGCUAUGGUCUUGUGCAUUGUAGAUAUUCAACAAAUGUAAUACAGUACAUUAUGGAAUCGUAUAUUGUGACUUAUUCUCCUUAUCAUUUAUGUAAAUGUAAUGGAAAAGAUGAUUUUUUAUUACGUUCGUAAGCUGUACAUUUUGCAUUACACUUCAAAAUAAUUAUCAACAAUAUACACGCUAGUAGAACAAUAAUUUAUUACUGUUUUAUUUCUAUGGAGGAAAUUUGUUUCUCAGAAAUGUUCUUGAUUAAAUUAGAUAUGUACUAUAAUCUACAAAGAUAAGUACACCACGAGUGUGCUACGAUGAAUUUGAGAGGAAGACACACAACAGGGGAAAAAUACAGAGUGGGAAGUGAACUGAGUGUGGGAUAUUUGCAAAACAUUUUGCUCGAGUGAUUUGACUAAGAGUCUGCGUCUCAAUGUAAUCGACGAUAUAUCAUCUAUUUUGAGUAUCAGAUCUAUUAAGAGGUGGUAAAAAAGAAAGCUCCCAUUUGUAAUUCUAGUAGUGUAAUGGGCGGUGUUCGUUAUAAAUAUAUAAAUAUAUAUAAAUACACAUUAUAUAUUAUAAAUCAUAUAGGUAAAUAUGAUUUAUAUAUGUAAUAAGUAUAUAAAUGCUAAUGAUAAUAAAUAAUAAUAAUAAUUAAUAAAAAUAUAAUACACCGUUAAUAUUACCGUAAAUACUGAUAAAGUAACAAUACAUUUAAAAUAUGCAACAUCUAAUGAAUUUUUGGCACGCGGAGAUCUUGUAAGAUAGGAGAGGCUAUUCCUGCUGCUAUUACUAUGUAUUUCCUUUCUUAGUUUGUAACACGUAUAACAAUUUCUUGCUCUAAAAUAUAUUGUAUAUUAAUUUUAUUGAUAACUCAUAAUGAAUUAUAAAAGAUUAAACAGCAAAAAAUAAACUUGUGAAUAUUACGACGGCUCUUGA